UACAGAGGUCCCAAGCGUUGUUCGGAUUUACUGGGCUUAAAGGGUGCGCAGGCGGUCGGAUAAGUCGGGUGUGAAAUCCCAAAGCUUAACUUUGGAACUGCGCCCGAAACUGUCUGGCUUGAGGGCUGGAGAGGAGACUGGAAUUCACGGUGUAGCAGUGAAAUGCGUAGAUAUCGUGAGGAACACCAAUGGCGAAGGCAGGUCUCUGGACAGUUCCUGACGCUCAGGCACGAAAGCCAGGGGAGCAAACGGG
rnacentral:rRNA from 1 species